rnacentral:rRNA from 1 species
AACGAACGCUGGCGGCAUGCCUAACACAUGCAAGUCGAACGAGACCUUCGGGUCUAGUGGCGCACGGGUGCGUAACGCGUGGGACCUGCCCUUAGGUUCGGAAUAACUCCCCGAAAGGGGUGCUAAUACCGGAUAAUGUCUUCGGACCAAAGAUUUAUCGCCUUUGGAUGGGCCCGCGUUGGAUUAGCUAGUUGGUAGGGUAAAAGCCUACCAAGGCGACGAUCCAUAGCUGGUCUGAGAGGAUGAUCAGCCACACUGGGACUGAGACACGGCCCAGACUCCUACGGGAGGCAGCAGUGGGGAAUAUUGGACAAUGGGCGAAAGCCUGAUCCAGCAAUGCCGCGUGAGUGAUGAAGGCCUUAGGGUUGUAAAGCUCUUUUACCCGGGAUGAUAAUGACAGUACCGGGAGAAUAAGCUCCGGCUAACUCCGUG